GACGGGGGGGACAAGUGUUACUCAACAUGACUGGGCGUAAAGGGCACUUAGGCGGUUUUCCCAGUGGUCUGUCAAAGGCGGAGGCUCAACCUCCGUGCGGCAUACCCUACGGGAAGGCUAGAGUCCGAUAGGGGGUGGCGGUAUUUCCGGUGUAGAGGUAAAAUUCGGCGAUAUCGGAAAGACCAUCGGUAGGCGAAGGCGGCCACCUGGUUCGGCACUGACGCUGAUAGGCGAAAGCGUGGGGAGCAAACAGG
rnacentral:rRNA from 1 species